GAUGAACGCUGGCGGCGUGCCUAAUACAUGCAAGUAGAACGCUGAAGGAGGAGCUUGCUCUUCUGGAUGAGUUGCGAACGGGUGAGUAACGCGUAGGUAACCUGCCUGGUAGCGGGGGAUAACUAUUGGAAACGAUAGCUAAUACCGCAUGACAACAGUUAUUGCAUGAUAACUGUUUAAAAGGGGCAACUGCUCCACUACCAGAUGGAGCUGCGUUGUAUUAGCUAGUUGGUGAGGUAACGGCUCACCAAGGCGACGAUACAUACCCGACCGGAGAGGGGGACGGCCAAAACGGGACCGGAAACACGCCCAGGACUCCAAGGGAGGCAACCAGAGGGGAACUUCGGACAUGGGCGGAAGGCCUAACGCAGAAAGCCCGGGGAGUGGAGGAAGUUUUCGGAUCGUAAAACUCUGUUGUAAGGGAAGAAAGAGUGUGAGAGUGAAAAGUUCACGCUGUGACGGUACCUAACCAGAAAGCGACGGCUAACUACGUG
rnacentral:rRNA from 1 species